AAUCAAAUUUCAAACACAACUUGACUGUUCAUUUCUCCAAAAGACAACCAUGAAGCUCCAUUUCAAACCUGAAGCAGAUAGUUGGUGCAUGUGUACAGUAACCUGAGGGGAGUGAGGUGACUAUUUCUGAGGAGAACAUGAGCAGUGAAGAUUCACCUUGGAGCUAGAACAGGGACGUGCACAUGAUUAUACAGGGGCAGGGGCUCAAGUUUUUUCCAGUCAUUUAUACAAUAUGGAAAUUAAUGUGAAAUUAAACCACAAAUAUGUGUGAUGAACUGUUUUUAAAACUUAAACUUCAAAUAAAAAUUGUAAACUUCAAAACAUAUGCAAAUUUUUAACAAAGAACAUAGUAAUUUACCUCUAUUUACAUCAAAAUGCAGGCAAUGGCCCAGGCGUUCUUUGUAAAAUUAUUUACAAAACACUGUAUAGUCUCACAAAUGUCACUUUUUAUUUAUGCCACUACAAAAAAACAUGAUGUAAAUGAUGCAUGAUGUAAAACAUGAUGUAAAAAACUUGUGUAGAUCCUCCUCUAUGUCAGUCCAUGUGUAAUUUUUCCAUAAUUCUUUGUUUUUUGCAGCAUUUUUGUUAGUGUAACUGCAGAUUGUGCUGACAGUGUCUAUGGCACAAAAAAAAAAAAAAUUAAAAUGCCUCAACAUGAACCCCUGGUGGUCUCUGAGGGUGAAACCUGCUAACUGCUGCAGCUCUGUCAGCUUCAGUCUCCCAUGCAGAGCUCUGAGCGCAUGUGUGGCUCUGCACCCUUAGCAGCGUUGCUAACUCCUCAGUAAGGAAAGCCUGCUUCAUGUCAGAGUCUCUAAACUCCAGAAGAAGUCGAUAAAAGUCCCUUUCUUUCUAAAAAAAAGUCGUUAGGGGGUCUGAAAAGUCAUUGAAUCUAACAACAAAGUCGCUAGGUUUGCAACUACGUGUCCCAGACUGCAUCCCUGCUGAGAGUCCCUCCCUCCCUUCUCAUGUUGCAGGAAGAACGUAAGCGCCCGCCCCUUGUCAAUCAGUCACCAUAUAAUUUUGGAUUGGUUGUUGUGGUGAAGUUUUCCACCAAUAGGAGAGAUGUUGUGGUGUGUUUUUUUUUCUUUUGGCAAGCCUUUUCCGCCUGUAAGACCUGUCGCUAAUGUCUGCAUGCUAUGUUUUCCUGUCUCAUACAGCGCGAUCGAGCGCCGAACGUGAUCAAAAUAAGCAGAAAAAAAGUAUCGCGGACAUAAUUUAUCAUAACUCUGGUUUUAUUUGGCCUAUCAACACAAUUUAAAAACUGGUAUAUAGGUUGAGGUCCUCACUUUUGAGAUAAGUUGAAACGGAGAGUCAACGAGGCUCCGUCUUGCAGCUACAUCCGGUUAAAUAUGUCAUGUGACUUGAACGCACACACAGACACACACACACGCACACACACACACACACACACACACACACACACACACACACACACUCAGAGUCUGGUUUUUAGCACCUGCAAAAACAUGCUAUUUACAUAUUUGACAAGAAUGCAGAGACUUCCUUUUGCCCCUGAAAAAAAUGAAAUUUCAAACACAACUUGACUGCUCAUUUCUCCAAAAGACAACCAUGAAGCUCCAUCCAAACCUGAAGCAGGCAGUUGGUGCAUGUGUACAGUAACCUGAGGGGAGUGAGGUGAGUGCUUCUGAGGAGAACAUGAGCAGUGAAGAUUCACCUUGGAGCUAGAACAGAGACAUGCACAUGAUUAUACAGGGGCAGGGGCUCAAGUUUUUUCCAGUCGUUUAUACAAUAUGGAAAUUAAUGUGAAAUUAAAACACAAAGUAUUAAUAGAAAGGUAAUGACUGUCCUGUGUAGGUGACAGUGAUAUCCAAUAGGCUAGGCACUCACGAGGCUGGCUGUGGCAAGUGUAAGUGAAAGCAACACGCACUGGCAGGAAGAACAGCAAACGCCGAUGAAGGAAAAGGGUCUUUGCAGUGAUGGGCGUUACCAGAGAGGGCGAUGGCCAGAGGACACAAAUGGGACGGGAAGGCAGCACGUUGGGGGGGGGGGGGGGACACGGCUCGGGCCCGCCAGUGCCCCAACGGGGUCCUAGUUAUUAUUUUUCCUCCGCUUUAAACUGGAAAAUGGCCCACUUCCCACUGGCGAAAACUCAGGAAAUUUGGCAGGACGACCGGGCCUGGUGAAAAAUUCGAUAUUCUGAAGUCGCCCAAACAAUAAAAUGCAAAAUGGCUCCAUAGCGCCCCCUAAGGUGAAAAUUCACAUGACGGCUGUACGCUUUGUCAUAUUGACACAAAAAUUGACACACACAUGUAUCUCAAUAAGAUCUACAAAAAAGUCAGUGCGGGCGUAUCUGUCAAAUGUACGGUUAAUGGGUUAUUUUUCAUUUUUUGCAGAUCUGCACACAUUGGAAUUUCGCUAACUCCUCCGAAGGCUUUCGUUCGACCGGCACCACAUUUGCGCAGGCCAAUCUACCCCCCAUGGCCAUUAAAAGUUGUACAAAUCAUGACGCUGCACCCCACGGUUUACGUUCUAGGGGGCGCCAAAGAUAACCCAAAAUCCACAUUCUUAAAAGUCUUAUAACUUUUUAUUUUUGUCCUCACUGGCCUCCAAGUUUUCUAGGAUGAUGCAAUGUCCAGCCAUCAACACAUUUGUGAAGGAAUUUUUACUCCCCAAAAGAGCGCCCCCCCAUGGCAGGAGAAAAAAGUCAAUUUUUUCUUGUCCCCUUACAUGAAAAUACACAUUGUUGAGUGUCACGCCUGAACGCUUUGUCAUAUUGACACAAAAAUUGACAAUCAUGUGUAUCUCAAUUAGAUCUACGAAAAAGUCAAAAAGCGCGUAUCUGUAUAAUGUACGGUUAAAGGGCUAUUUCACAUUUUUUGCCGAUUUGCACACAUUGGAAUGUGGCUAUCUCCUCCUAAGGCUUUCGUCCCACCGAUACCAAAUUUGCUCAGGGCAAUCUACACCCCAUGCCCAUUCAAAGUUGUAAAAAUCAUGACGCUGCACCCCACGGUUUACGUUCUAGGGGGCGCCAAAGAUGACCCAAAAAUCCACAUUCUUAAAAGUCAUUUUGGCCACUGCAGGAGUACAGAGUACUGCAGUUCUAGGGGGCGCCAAAGAUGACCCAAAAAUCCACAUUCUUAAAAGUCUUUUUGGCCACUGCAGGAGUACAGAGUACUGCAGGAUACACACACAUAUACACAUACACACACACACACACACACACACACACACACACACACACACACACACACACACACACUCAGAGUCUGUUUUUUAGCACCUGCAAAAACAUGCUGUUUACAUAUUUGACAAGAAUGCAGAGGCUUCCUUUUGCCCCUGAAAAAAAUCAGAUUUCAAACACAACUUGACUGUUCAUUUCUCCAAAAGACAACCAUGAAGCUCCAUCCAAACCUGAAGCAGAUAGUUGGUGCAUGUGUACAGUAACCUGAGGGGAGUGAGGUGACUAUUUCUGAGGAGAACAUGAGCAGUGAAGAUUCACCUUGGAGCUAGAACAGGGACGUGCACAUGAUUAUACAGGGGCAGGGGCUCAAGUUUUUUCCAGUCAUUUAUACAAUAUGGAAAUUAAUGUGAAAUUAAACCACAGAUAUGUGUGAUGAACUGUUUUUAAAACUUAAACUUCAAAUAAAAAUUGUAAACUUCAAAACAUAUGCAAAUUUUUAACAAAGAACAUAGUAAUUUACCUCUAUUUACAUCAAAAUGCAGGCAAUGUCCCAGGCGUUCUUUGUAAAAUUAUUUACAAAACACUGUAUAGUCUCACAAAUGUCACUUUUCAUUUAUGCCACUACAAAAAAACAUGAUGUAAAUGAUGCAUGAUGUAAAACAUGAUGUAAAAAACUUGUGUAGAUCCUCCUCUAUGUCAGUCCAUGUGUAAUUUUUCCAUAAUUCUUUGUUUUUUGCAGCAUUUUUGUUAGUGUAACUGCAGAUUGUGCUGACAGUGUCUAUGGCAAAAAAAAAAAAAAAAACUGAAAAUGCCUCAACAUGAACCCCUGGUGGUCUCUGAGGGUUAAACCUGCUAACUGCUGCAGCUCUGUCAGCUUCAGUCUCCCAUGCAGAGCUCGGAGCGCAUGUGUGGCUCUGCACCCUUAGCAGCGUUGCUAACUCCUCAGUAAGGAAAGCCUGCUUCAUGUCAGAGUCUCUAAACUCCAGAACUCCAGAAGAAGUCGAUAAAAGUCCCUUUCUUUCUAAAAAAAAGUCAUUAGGGGGUCUGAAAAGUCAUUGAAUCUAACAACAAAGUCGCUAGGUUUGCAACUACGUGUCCCAGACUGCAUCCCUGCUGAGAGUCCCUCCCUCCCUUCUCAAGUUGCAGGAAGAACGCGAGCUCCCGUCCCGUGUCAAUCAGUCACCAUAUAAUUUUGGAUUGGUUGUUGUGGUGAAGUUUUCCACCAAUAGGAGAGAUGUUGUGGUGUGUUUUUUUCUUUUCUUUUGGCAAGUCUUUUCCGCCUGUAAGAGCUUUCGCUAAUGUCUGCAUGCUAUGUUUUCCUGUCUCAUACAGCGCGAUCGAGCGCCGAACGUGAUCAAAAUAAGCAGAAAAAAAGUAUCGCGGACAUAAUUUAUCAUAACUCUGGUUUUAUUUGGCCUAUCAACACAAUUUAAAAACUGGUAUAUAGUUUGAGGUCCUCACUUUUAAGAUAGGUUGAAACGGAGAAUCAACGAGGCUCCGUCUUGCAGCUACAUCCGGUUAAAUAUGUCAUGUGACUUGAACGCUGGGGAACGUCAAUCGACUGCAGAACCAGCAGACAAAGUAGUUAUGGCCACUGAGAGGCACACAUUUGUCAUAUGCUAUAAUCCUAACAUAUUUAAAUGCUUUUUCUAUUUAAACCUAAUGGAUCUAAGCUUUGACCUUCAAAAUUUAGGAAGAAUAUGUUUUUGCAGUAAUGACCCCCUUAAACAACCAGAGGUCCUUUCCUAAAGUUUAUGGAAAUUUUAGUGAAGUCCUUGGUUUCUUUCCUUGCAAAAUGUAUAGAAAUAAUAAAGCUAAAUACCAUAAAAUGGUCUUGGCGUAUUAGCAGUGAUAUAAAAUAGUGGUUUGAAUAUGAAUGAGCAACAAAAAAAAAAAGAUCAACAGAGCCUUUUUGAGUUGGGAUUCUUUCAUUAUCACACAAAAACAGACAUAGACAGACAUCUAAAGGGUAAGGGAAUGAUCAGCCCUCCUAACUCUCAGAUGAAUCUUCAAAAUUCACCUCAGAAAUAUGCUUAUUAUUCUUCUCAGAGUACUGCAGGACACACACACACACACACACACACACACACACACACACACACACACACACACACACACUCAGAGUCUUUUUUUAGCACCUGCAAAAACAUGUUAUUAACAUAUUUGACAAGAAUGCAGAGGCUCCUUUUGCCCCUGAAAAAAAUCAGAUUUCAAACACAACUUGACUGGUCAUUUCUCCAAAAGACAACCAUGAAGCUCCAUCCAAACCUGAAGCAGAUAGUUGGUGCAUGUGUACAGUAACCUGAGGGGAGUGAGGUGACUGCUUCUGAGGAGAACAUGAGCAGUGAAGAUUCACCUUGGAGCUAGAACAGGGACGUGCACAUGAUAAUACAGGGGCAGGGGCUCAAGUUUUUUCCAGUCAUUUAUACAAUAUGGAAAUUAAUGUGAAAUUAAAAACAAAGAAUUAAUAGAAAGGUAAUGACUGUCCUGUGUAGGUGACAGUGAUAUCCAAUAGGCUAGGCACUCACGAGGCUGGCUGUUGCAAGUGUUAGUGAAAGCAACACGCACUGGCAGGAAGAACAGCAAACACCGAUGAAGGAAAAGGCUCUUUGCAGUGAUGGGCGUUACCCGAGAGGGCGAUGGCCAGAGGACCCGAAUGGGACGGGGAGGCAGCGCGUUGGGGGGGGGCACACAGCUCGGGCCCGCCAGUGCCCCAACGGGGCCCUAGUUCUUCUUCUUCUUCUUAUUAUUUUUCUGCCCCUUUGAACUGGAAAAUGGCCCACUUCCCACUGGUGAAAAGUCAUGAAAUUUGGCAGGACGACCGGGCCUGGUGAAAAAUUUGAUAUUCCGAAGUCGCCCAAAAAAUCAAAUGCAAAAUGGCUCCAAAGCGCCCCCUAAGGUGAAAAAUUCACAUGAUUGAGUGUCACGCCUGUACGCUUUGUCAAAAUGACACAAAAUUUGACACACACGUGUAUCUCAAUAAGAUCUACAAAAAAGUCAGUGCGGGCGUAUCUGUCAAAUGUACGGUUAAAGGGCUAUUUCGCAUUUUUUGCCGAUCCGCACACAUUGGAAUUUCGCUAACUCCUCCGAAGGCUUUCGUUCCACCGGCACCAAAUUUGCUCAGGCCAAUCUACACCCCAUGGCCAUUAAAAGUUGUACAAAUCAUGACGCUGCAUCCCACGGUUUACGUUCUAGGGGGCGCCAAAGAUAACCCAGAAAUCCACAUUCUUAAAAGUCGUAUAACUUUUUAUUUUUGUCCUCACUGGCCUCCAAGUUUUCUAGGAUGAUGCAAUGUCCAGCCAUCAACACAUUUGUGAAGGAAUUUUUACUCCUC